GGAAAGGUGCUCGAGUGGCUGAAGAGGCACGCCUGGAAAGCGUGUAUUCCCCUAAAGGGAAUCGGGGGUUCGAAUCCCCCUCUUUCCG
rfam:Prevotella sp. CAG:732 genomic scaffold, scf154